CAUCAAGAAGCUACUGCAGCGUUAACCUUUUAAGUUGAAGAUCGAAAGCCCCACCCUUUCCUUGAUGA
rnacentral:tRNA from 1 species